UAUUGUGCAAGGUGCAUUUAGUGCAGUUGUGAUGUCUGUGAGUCUUAUCUCACACUCAGAGAUGAAGUGUUAAAAAGUUGAAUUGCCUGUGGUAGGACUGAUUUCCUGUAGCGGUCCGUGUGACAUUGAAGCUGUCGGAGCCUCUUAGAGAAGGUGCUCCUCUGUUGGACCAGUGUGGGGUGGAGAGGGUGGUCGGGGUUAUCCAUGAUAGAUAACAGUUUGAUCAGUGAUGUCCUCUUCACCACAGCUGCAAAAGUGUCCUGUUUUGCAUCC